CCGCAAAGCACGUAUUUGUUGCCGUAUUUACUGAGCUAGUGCCUUUGAAAAGAAAAAGAGANGACAACUUUUGACGGUGGAUCUCUUGGCUCGCGCAUCGAUGAAGAACGCAGCCAGCUGCGAUAAGUAGUGUGAAUUGCAGAAUUCAGUGAAUCAUCGAAUCUUUGAACGCAAAUGGCGCUCUUGGGUUCUCCCAGGAGCAUGUCUGUCUGAGUGUCGGAUUGUACNCCAUCGCGGUUGGACCGUUUCCACGGCAGCCGCGGCGUUGAGGCGACACGACGCGUUCCCAGGUUGGUCGUGUCUCUCGAAACCGAGCGUAGCCCCGUUGCCGCAGCGGUCGCGUCCGACUCUGUCCGCCAAAAAGGGGAGGCUUAAGGCUGACCUUUCCCUGGACGGAGGAGGUCCGACGUGGCGAGGGACGGAGGCCAACGAGAGAGAAAGAGAAAGAGAGCAAAGGCAGUGAAAAGGCAUCUUGACCUCAGAUCAGGCAAGG
rnacentral:rRNA from 1 species